UAGGGAAUCUUCCACAAUGGACGCAAGUCUGAUGGAGCAACGCCGCGUGAGUGAAGAAGGUUUUCGGAUCGUAAAGCUCUGUUGUUGGUGAAGAAGGAUAGAGGUAGGAACUGGCCUUUAUUUGACGGUAAUCAACCAGAAAGUCACGGCUAACUACGUGCCAGCAGCCGCGGUAAUACGUAGGUGGCAAGCGUUGUCCGGAUUUAUUGGGCGUAAAGCGAGCGCAGGCGGAAGAAUAAGUCUGAUGUGAAAGCCCUCGGCUUAACCGAGGAACUGCAUCGGAAACUGUUUUUCUUGAGUGCAGAAGAGGAGAGUGGAACUCCAUGUGUAGCGGUGGAAUGCGUAGAUAUAUGGAAGAACACCAGUGGCGAAGGCGACUCUCUGGUCUGCAACUGACGCUGAGGCUCGAAAGCAUGGGUAGCGAACAGG
rnacentral:rRNA from 1 species